rnacentral:rRNA from 2 species
GAUGAACGCCGGCGGUGUGCCUAAUACAUGCAAGUCGAGCGCACUGGCCCAACUGAUAUGACGUGCUUGCACUGAUUUGACGAUGGAUUACCAGUGAGCGGCGGACGGGUGAGUAACACGUGGGCAACCUGCCCUGGAGCGGGGGAUAACAUCUGGAAACAGGUGCUAAUACCGCAUGACUACUAAAACCACCUGGUUUUAGUAUAAAAGAAGGCUUCAGCUUUCACUCUAGGAUGGGCCCGCGGUGCAUUAGCUAGUUGGUAAGGUAACGGCUUACCAAGGCGAUGAUGCAUAGCCGAGUUGAGAGACUGAUCGGCCACAAUGGAACUGAGACACGGUCCAUACUCCUACGGGAGGCAGCAGUAGGGAAUCUUCCACAAUGGGCGCAAGCCUGAUGGAGCAACACCGCGUGAGUGAAGAAGGGUUUCGGCUCGUAAAGCUCUGUUGUUGAAGAAGAACGUGCGUGAGAGUAACUGUUCACGCAGUGACG